rnacentral:lncRNA from 1 species
UCUCUCAGUUCCAAUAGUUGGCAGUCAUAAUUUCUCAUUUUCGCAAUUGCAGUUGCUGUUAAAUCACCUCUGCUUGAAAAACUCUUGCAAGUUACCUUGCUGGGAAUCAUCAAACUUGCCAUUCUGGAGAAUACUGAUCAUUGUCAGCCACAGGUACGGCCGCAUGGAAAAUGACAGAUACCACAGUGAAUCAGCCCCCAGACGUGUCACAGGAGUGUCUGCAUUUGCGUGCAAAAGGUUUUUGAAGAGACCUUCAGCACAGCUCUGAUGAGACACAGCCUCUGCUGGAGCGAGGAACCCCCCUGGCAGAAGUGAGUGAGCGCAUGAACGAGGGAAGGAGUGAAAGACUGCCUGUCAGACUGGACUACCCGUGUGUUAAUCUGGCUGCUUCAGACACCGAAUACCACACAGAACCCAUGUUGUUCCAAGAAGUGAAUUCAUAUACAGAGCAAGCUGCCUCCUAACCAGUGGGUGUAGACAAGCACCAGGACCUCUUGCUGGCCUUGCAACACACUGGGAACUUCUGAUGGUUCAGUUUGCUGCCUGGCUAACCUGGACAUCAGGUCGCAGGAAGACACUGUGGCACUGCUGCAUAUGUGAGUCAGUGAUCAGCCAUGCUUAGGUCACUUCACCCUCAACAUAGCAUGCAUAUACCCUGCAGCCUCCUGCUAAGGGCCUGGCAAACCAGGGUCCCAGGCCCACACUCUGUGAGACACAAGGCCACAGUCCUGUCCCCUUUGUUUGCUGAGAAGGAAUUGUGAAAGUCUGAAUGCUGCCAGCUUUGUUCAGAAGGCCUUCUGCACUCACCUCAUGGAGCUGGCCCCAAAGUAAUGAGAAUCAAACAGAAGUGUAUAUGGAGGCUUAGCUCUCAUUCUGGUUUGAAUACAGGAGUUUGAAACAAUCCUGCCAUCUUGUCAUGCAGCAAGUCUCCUGCUCAUGGUGUUCCGACCAGCUCGGCCCACCUCAGCCAAACCCUCACCACAGAGCACCCAAAGUACGGCCCCUCUGGUGAGAGCUGUACAGACUGAGGACCCUUCUCUAUGUUUCUUUGUGUUCACCCUUCAGACGCAAAUCAGAAGGGGAAAGGAACAGAAGUGGUGUAGCUGGCAGGUGGUGCGGGAUGCCCACUCCUGCAUCUAAUAGCACACCCAGCUGAUGCCUUUUCUUUCGGAAGUGGGAGGCAGCCAGAAGAGUUUUCUCUCUUGCAGCGAUACUGUUUGCUCAAGGAGCUGUAGUAAAUGCUUGGCUUGUUUCUGAAAGGGCAGCACCCAGCCAUUUGGUGCUGGUUAGAUGUGCUUCUUGGUCUAUGGAAGCAGGGAUUUCCAUACGCUAAAAAAAAAUUGAGCAGAGCUUUAGACUGCAGCAGCCGUUCACCGAGGUUCUCUUUUUAGCUCUUAGAACUCCUG